rfam:Papio anubis isolate 1X1155 chromosome 6, whole genome shotgun sequence.
UGUUAGGUUGGUGCAAAAGUAAUGGCGGCUUUUGCCAUUGCAAAUAAUGGCAAAAACUGCCAUUACUUUUGCACCAACCUAACA